rnacentral:rRNA from 1 species
AUUGAACGCUGGCGGCAGGCCUAACACAUGCAAGUCGAGCGGAUGAAGGGAGCUUGCUCCUGGAUUCAGCGGCGGACGGGUGAGUAAUGCCUAGGAAUCUGCCUGGUAGUGGGGGAUAACGUCCGGAAACGGGCGCUAAUACCGCAUACGUCCUGAGGGAGAAAGUGGGGGAUCUUCGGACCUCACGCUAUCAGAUGAGCCUUGGUCGGAUUAGCUAGUUGGUGGGGUAAAGGCCUACCAAGGCGACGAUCCGUAACUGGUCUGAGAGGAUGAUCAGUCAUACUGGAACUGAGACACGGUCCAGACUCCUACGGGAGGCAGCAGUGGGGAAUAUUGGACAAUGGGCGAAAGCCUGAUCCAGCCAUGCCGCGUGUGUGAAGAAGGUCUUCGGAUUGUAAAGCACUUUAAGUUGGGAGGAAGGGCAGUAAGUUAAUACCUUGCUGUUUUGACGUUACCAACAGAAUAAGCACCGGCUAACUUCGUG